ACUGUCUUCAAAGUGGCGGUGAAAUGUUGUUAACAAUAUUCAUAUCACAGCCAGCUUUGAGGAGCGUUG
rfam:Drosophila ficusphila Contig1492, whole genome shotgun sequence